AAGAACAGAUAUUUGUUUCUCUCACUGUAGGUAUAGAGGUGCAAAUCAAGAUGGUUUGGAAUCUAGGGACAAUCCUCUUCUCUUUGAAGACCACUAACAUCUCCCUGAGGUGUGAUGUAGCACAGAAUGAGCUUAGCUGUCUGGAGGUCCUUUGUCCAGACCCUGGGGCCAGUUAGAUGACAUUGUCUUAGUGACUUAGAAACCUCCUAGCGUCCUCAUCACCACCAGAGUAAAGAACUAUAUGACCUUUGAAUAGAAACAAGCAUUGGGUCACAAUGCUUCUGCUUCAUAUGUAAGGACCUACCUCACUGUAAGGAUGUGGGUGUCAAAUAAGAAUAGAGGACCACAGCCUGGUCCAUCUUCUUCAAGGCUAAUGGCCAAAGUGUGUGAAUGAAUUUAUUCCCAGAAAAAAAGGAAGAUCAUUGACCUACUUUGUUUUUGUAUGUUCCUAGAUCCCCAAUGGGCAAUUUUGCCAGAGGUUUCCCCAUAAAAGUAGACAACUGGUAGAUGAACAUCUAAAAUUAU
rnacentral:lncRNA from 1 species